rnacentral:rRNA from 1 species
GAUGAACGCUGGCGGCGUGCCUAAUACAUGCAAGUCGAACGAAACUUCUUUAUCACCGAGUGCUUGCACUCACCGAUAAAGAGUUGAGUGGCGAACGGGUGAGUAACACGUGGGCAACCUGCCCAAAAGAGGGGGAUAACACUUGGAAACAGGUGCUAAUACCGCAUAACCAUAGUUACCGCAUGGUAACUAUGUAAAAGGUGGCUAUACUACCGCUUUUGGAUGGGCCCGCGGCGCAUUAGCGAGUUGGUAGGGUAAAGGCUUACCGAGGCAGUGAUGCGUAGCCGAGUUGAGAGGUUGAUCGGCCACAUUGGGACUGAGACACGGCCCAAACUCCUACGGGAGGCAGCAGUAGGGAAGCGUCCACAAUGGGCGAAAGCCUGCUGGAGCAGCGCCGGGUUGGUGAAGAAGGUCUUCGUAUCGUAAAACCCUGUUGUUAGUGUGGAAAGUGCGUGAGAGUAACGGUUCUCGUUUCGACGGUAUCUAACCGGAAAGCCACGGCUAACUACGUG